UGGGUUGAAGCUCUGUGGUAGAGUGCCUGCCCAGCACGCAUGAGCUCCUGGGUUCAAUCCCCAGUACCACAA
rnacentral:tRNA from 1 species